UCUUCAAACAAUCCUAAUCCGUCUAAACGAAGUUGCUCAUCCGCACAGACGUAGCUUAUUAGCUGUGCGCAUUGCGUCGGUGCUGUUGUUGACUUUUGCGCAGCGCAGCCAAGCUUGACGACUGAGGCUGCGUCAACGUCUGCAGUUGCUGCUGGUGCUGUAGCUUUAUACUCGUUCAGGUGUUGCUAACUGACGGUCAGACCGCUGCUGCAGGUGUUGUGGUCGUUGCUAACAUAAGCAAAGUUGAGUCUCUUUUUGGCUGCGCUGCAGUAAGGUUCUGAAAUUUUCUGCUCCAACGACUUAAAGUGGAAUAGAAAUUUUUGCAUUGACUCUAAAAAUAUUAAAAACUAAAAAUCAUUUUUCAAGCUUCCAUUGCGGCUGACGCUGUUGUUGCUGUUGUUGAUGUUGAUUCUAAUUGCAUGUCUUCUUGUGGGACAGUGUCGAGUUGAGAUUCACAACAUUGUGGGGAAUUGUGGUUAGAGCGACCUUGGCGCAAUAAAUGCAGUGCUGUUCAGAUACGAGUAAGUACUGGGUACUUUGUCAAACUAUUGAUUACUUUUUAUACACGAUUAAAGACAGAGAUCCAUAGUACCAUUACAACAGCAACAACUUAGGGACCCCAUUUUUUACUCAAAAGCAGUCCAAAAGAUUGGAGAGUAUUUUACGCCUGCAGGUGGCAAUGCUUCAAGGAGUAGUGAGUCGAAUGGGGUAAUGCGAAGGCUUAUGAAUUUUGGGAGCAUCCUCUCUCGCUGGGCGGAAAAGUGGGAAAAAUAUCUUUCGAGUUAUAUAGCUUCACGAUCGGUUCUGAUUUUAAGUAAGUUUCGCCGAAUUUUAGAAUGAGUACUAAACAAUAAGUAUCGAGAAUUCCUUUUUGCGAUAUUUUAAGAAGCAAAUGUAUCGAGUGCAUGGCGCUGUCGGAGCAACGCUAAAUAAUUCUCCUGGACCUAAAGUCCGGCUGUGCAUGGGUAAUGGCGUAAGUAUACAUACAUACCUUGCUGUAGCGUCUUCCACUGCACUAUGGAGCGAUAGAGUAUCAGCACCAUAUGAAAAAAUCAUUCCCAUAAAUUUCAAUGUAAAAGUUGAAAAAAAAAAAAUUCCCAACAUUCAACUUAGUACUGCUAAUUUUAAUUUUUAACGUCGAAUUUGCGAUAAGGCUGCAUAAAUCCAAUCUACCAAAAAUCUCAUUGCACAAUAUUUGAUUUGAGGGAAAUAGAGUUUUUUUUUUAAUUAUUUAUUUUAUAACAUUUAAAAGAUAUGGGAGAAAGAUCUGAGGGCUGCAUUAGUAGUUUUAUAUAUUAGCAAAAGAAAAGCAAUGCAAAACAAAAAAAAGCAAACAAAAAUACAUAUAUAAAAUUAAAAUAAAAGCUGAAAUUAAAAGUAGCAAUUAAGAAUAAUCCAAAAGCUUUAAAAACCUGCUUAAAACUCUUUUGUCACAUUCAGCCCGAAGGACGUUAAUGAACUACACCAGCGACAAAGUUCAAUUUCAAAAAUCCAUUACCAGCCGGAACUGUUAGAAUUGAGACUUCCCAGUGAAAUGGGGAAAAGGCGAUUCAUAUACAUAUAUAUUCAUACAUACAUGGAUUUAUAGAUUUAUGGAUGUGUGCAUAUGUGUGUAUUCCUCUUCAUUAUGCUUUUGCUGCAGCUGCAACGUGCCAAAGUGCUAACAGCUACCAACCAUUUCUCAAAACUUUGUAUUGCACUUUGUUUCGUUCCUCGAGAGCCAUUCAUCAUCCGACUAUACAUAUGCACAUACACUUUGUUGUUGUUCUGUGCGCUAUUGUGUAUUUCUAAGGUGUCGCUAUUGCUGUUGCCGCUGCUGCUGUUUUAGCUAUCGCCUGAUAUCUUGUUUGUAUGUAGUGGUACGCUCUAUUGCUUUUGUUUUUGUU